UACGGGGGGAGCAAGCGUUGUUCGGAUUUACUGGGCGUAAAGGGCGCGUAGGCGGCCACCGCAAGUCGACUGUGAAAUCUCUGGGCUUAACCCAGAACGGUCAGCCGAUACUGCGGGGCUAGAGUGCAGAAGGGGCAACUGGAAUUCUCGGUGUAGCGGUGAAAUGCGUAGAUAUCGAGAGGAACACCUGCGGCGAAGGCGGGUUGCUGGGCUGACACUGACGCUGAGGCGCGAAAGCUAGGGGAGCAAACGGG
rnacentral:rRNA from 1 species